UACGAAGGGGGCAAGCGUUGUUCGGAAUUACUGGGCGUAAAGGGCGCGUAGGCGGCUUAUCAAGUCAGGCGUGAAAUUCCCGGGCUCAACCUGGGGGCUGCGCUUGAUACUGAUGAGCUUGAAUGCGGGAGAGGAUAGUGGAAUCCCCAGUGUAGAGGUGAAAUUCGUAGAUAUUGGGAAGAACACCGGUGGCGAAGGCGGCUAUCUGGCCCGUAAUUGACGCUGAGGCGCGAAAGCGUGGGGAGCAAACAGG
rnacentral:rRNA from 1 species